rnacentral:rRNA from 1 species
UACGUAGGGAGCAAGCGUUGUCCGGAAUCAUUGGGCGUAAAGCGCGCGUAGGUGGCCAUGUAAGUCCGCUGUGAAAGUCAAAGGCUCAACCUUUGAAAGCCGGUGGAUACUGCAUGGCUAGAGUACGGAAGAGGCGAGUGGAAUUCCCGGUGUAGCGGUGAAAUGCGUAGAUAUCGGGAGGAACAUCAGUGGCGAAGGCGGCCCUCUGGUCCAGUACUGACACUCAAGUGCGAAAGCGUGGGGAGCAAACAGG